rnacentral:rRNA from 1 species
CUACGGGAGGCAGCAGUGGGGAAUUUUGCGCAAUGGGGGAAACCCUGACGCAGCAACGCCGCGUGAGUGAUGAAGGCCUUCGGGUCGUAAAGCUCUGUCAGUGGGGAAGAAAAGAGACAGGUUAAUACCCUGUCUCCCUGACGGUACCCACAAAGGAAGCACCGGCUAACUCCGUGCCAGCAGCCGCGGUAAUACGGAGGGUGCAAGCGUUGUUCGGAUUUAUUGGGCGUAAAGCGCGUGUAGGCGGUCUCUUAAGUCUGAUGUGAAAGCCCCGGGCUCAACCCGGGAAGUGCAUUGGAUACUGGGAGACUUGAAUACGGGAGAGGGUAGUGGAAUUCCUAGUGUAGGAGUGAAAUCCGUAGAUAUUAGGAGGAACACCGGUGGCGAAGGCGGCUACCUGGACCGAUAUUGACGCUGAGACGCGAAAGCGUGGGGAGCAAACAGGAUUAGAUACCCCGGU